UAUACUGUGAAACUGCGAAUGGCUCAUUAAAUCAGUUAUCGUUUAUUUGAUAGUGCCCUUUACUACUUGGAUAACCGUGGUAAUUCUAGAGCUAAUACAUGCAUAAAGCCCCGACUUUCGAAGGGGUGUAUUUAUUAGAUAAAAAACCAAUGCCCUCCGGGGCUGCUUGGUGAAUCAUGAUAACGCAACGAAUCGCAUGGCCUUGCGCCGGCGAUGGUUCAUUCAAAUUUCUGCCCUAUCAACUUUCGAUUGUAGUUUAGUGGACUACAAUGGUUUCAACGGGUAACGGGGAAUUAGGGUUCGACUCCGGAGAGGGAGCCUGAGAAACGGCUACCACAUCCAAGGAAGGCAGCAGGCGCGCAAAUUACCCAAUCCCGACACGGGGAGGUAGUGACAAUAAAUACUGAUACAGGGCUCUUUUGGGUCUUGUAAUUGGAAUGAGUACAAUUUAAAUCCCUUAACGAGGAACAAUUGGAGGGCAAGUCUGGUGCCAGCAGCCGCGGUAAUUCCAGCUCCAAUAGCGUAUAUUAAAGUUGUUGCAGUUAAAAAGCUCGUAGUUGAACCUUGGGCCUGGCUGACCGGUCCGCCUCACCGCGUGCACUGGUUCGGCCGGGCCUUUCCUUCUGCGGAACGGCAUGCCCUUCACUGGGCGUGUCUCGGGAAGCAGGACUUUUACUUUGAAAAAAUUAGAGUGUUCAAAGCAGGCCUUUGCUCGAAUACAUUAGCAUGGAAUAAUAGAAUAGGACGGCGCUCCUAUUUUGUUGGUUUCUAGGAGAGCCGUAAUGAUUAAUAGGGACAGUUGGGGGCAUCCGUAUUCAGUUGUCAGAGGUGAAAUUCUUGGGAUUUACUGAAGACGAACUACUGCGAAAGCAUUUGCCAAAGAUGUUUUCAUUAAUCAGUGAACGAAAGUUAGGGGAUCGAAGACGAUCAGAUACCGUCGUAGUCUUAACCAUAAACUAUGCCGACUAGGGAUCGGGCGAUGUUAUUGUAUUGACUCGCUCGGC
rnacentral:rRNA from 1 species